GAUGAACGCUGGCGGCGUGCUUAACACAUGCAAGUCGAACGGAAAGGCCCAAGCUUGCUUGGGUACUCGAGUGGCGAACGGGUGAGUAACACGUGGGUGAUCUGCCCUGCACUUCGGGAUAAGCCUGGGAAACUGGGUCUAAUACCGGAUAGGACCACUUCUUGGAUGUUGUGGUGGAAAGUUUUCUCGGUGUGGGAUGAGCUCGCGGCCUAUCAGCUUGUUGGUGGGGUAAUGGCCUACCAAGGCGUCGACGGGUAGCCGGCCUGAGAGGGUGUACGGCCACAUUGGGACUGAGAUACGGCCCAGACUCCUACGGGCGGCAGCAGUGGGGAAUAUUGCACAAUGGGCGCGAGCCUGAUGCAGCGACGCCGCGUGGGGGAUGACGGCCUUCGGGUUGUAAACUCCUUUCGCUAGGGACGAAGCGUUUUUGUGACGGUACCUGGAGAAGAAGCACCGGCUAACUACGUG
rnacentral:rRNA from 1 species